CAGCCGCCGCGGUAAAACGGGGGGGGCAAGUGUUAUUCGGAAUGACUGGGCGUAAAGGGCACGUAGGCGGUGAAAAGGGUGGAAAGUGAAAGUCGCCAAAACACUGGCGGGGUGCUUUCUUGACCAUUUCACUUGAGUGAGAUAGGGGAGAGUGGAAUUUCGUGUGGAGGGAUCAAAUCCUAAGAUAUACGAAGGAACGCCAACCGCGAAGGCAGCUCUCUGGGUCCCCACUGACGCUGGGGUGCGAAAGCAUGGGGAGCAAACAGGAUCAGAUACCCCAGUAGUCCCUGUCUCUUAUACA
rnacentral:rRNA from 1 species